rnacentral:rRNA from 1 species
AAAAUUCUAAAAGUCGAACAGACUUAAUUAUCUAACUUCUACGCCAAAUAUAAAUUUUAAUCCAACAUCGAGGUCGCAAUCUUUAUUAUCGAUUAGAACUCUCCAAUAAAAUUACG